rnacentral:rRNA from 1 species
UACGUAGGGUGCAAGCGUUGUCCGGAAUUAUUGGGCGUAAAGAGCUCGUAGGCGGUUUGUCGCGUCUGCUGUGAAAUCCCAGGGCUUAACCCUGGGCCUGCAGUGGGUACGGGCAAACUAGAGUGCGGUAGGGGAGAUCGGAAUUCCUGGUGUAGCGGUGAAAUGCGCAGAUAUCAGGAGGAACACCAAUUGCGAAGGCAGCUCGCUGGGACGUUACUGACGCUGAGACGCGAAAGCGUGGGGAGCAAACAGG